rnacentral:tRNA from 3 species
GCGUGUGUCGUAUAAUGGUUAUUACCUCAGCCUUCCAAGCUGAUGAUUGGGAUUCGAUUUCCCAUACACGCUCCA